GAUGAAGAACGGAGCGAAAUGCGAUACUUGGUGUGAAUUGCAGAAUCCCGUGAACCAUCGAGUCUUUGAACGCAAGUUGCGCCCGAAGCCUCGGCUAAGGGCACGUCUGCCUGGGCGUCACGCAUCGCGUCUCCCCCAAACCGCCAAGGCGGAGGGGAAGGAAGAUGGCUUCCCGUGCCUCACCCGGGCGCGGUUGGCCUAAAUUUGGAGCCCGCGGCACUUAGCUCUCGCGGCGAUAGGUGGUGAACAAGGCCUUGGCCGUGCAAACAACCCGCUGCGAAGCUCUAUGUCACGUGCGCUCGUCGGACCCUUUGAAGUUGCCUUCGGUGACUUAAAACCUUUGCGACCCCAGGUCAGGCGGGGCUACCCGCUGAAUUUAAGCAUAUCAAUAAGCGGAGGA
rnacentral:misc_RNA from 1 species